GGCCCAUGCCUCAGGACAUCACAGUGCCUCUGGACUUGUUAAAUGAACAUGAAUAUCUGUUACUUGAAAGUUCUUCUAAACAUUCACAUUUCAGAAGGCUUCUUAGGUAUUCAAAGCACCACAGCAUGUUCUCCUCCCAAAACAUAAGAGAACAAGUAAGAAAACAAGAAGACUGAUUUAUUAUCAAAUAAAAAAUGAGAAGAUUAAUUCAGCAUCAAAUAAGGACAAAGUUUUGAUGAGAGGCGCCUGGGUGGCUCAGUUGGUUAAGUAC